CGUUGGCAUGACAGAACAACAUUUCCAGAUUUAAAACCACUUGAAGUGAAUUGAAGUCUUGAGAAAGUGGCUGCUGUAGGAAAGACUACGUGCUUUUCUGUCUUGACAGGUUCUGACAGGGGUGACGCAGAAGGCAGCAGGAUGCCUGCACCCAGCUGGGGGAAAGGGCUUCAGAGAGGAGAAAAGGAAACACGCAAGGAAAUGAAGGUGCAGAUGAAUGGGUACCACAGCUGUUAACAGAUGGAACCAGAAUUUGAACCCCAACAAUUGGACCCCAGUUUGCGCCCCUGUACCAGCUGUUUCUCUUGAGCCUGGACAUAGAUAUACCAAGAUAUUAACAGUGACCAUGUCAAAGACAGUUGAUCAGCGGUUCUACUACAGAAGUAGUAUUUUAUAUACUUAACAAAGACAGAGAAUUAAUGCAGAAAUAUGUUUCCAUAUCCUUGAUGUCCAUCGAGUGACUAAGGUCCUUGGUAAGGCUGAAAAUUCCCUUUCUUCUCAUUCAACAAUGUUACAGUUAUAGUUUUAUCUUGUAUAAAUAUAAUGAUAAGUGAGCAAAUAUUAAGAUUUAUCAUCAACUGUAGAAUUAGCUGAAAAAAGAGAUACAUUUACAAAGUAUAAAGUUUCUGACAAUAAUUUUAAUCCUCCAAUAAAUAAUAAAUCACAAAUAUUUAUUCGAUACCU
rnacentral:lncRNA from 1 species